UACGGGGGGGGCAAGCGUUGUUCGGAAUUACUGGGCGUAAAGGGCUCGUAGGUGGCCAACUAAGUCAUACGUGAAAUCCCUCGGCUUAACCGGGGAACUGCGUCUGAUACUGGAUGGCUUGAGUUUGGGAGAGGGAUGCGGAAUUCCAGGUGUAGCGGUGAAAUGCGUAGAUAUCUGGAGGAACACCGGUGGCGAAGGCGGCACGCUGGACCCUCCCUGACGCUGAGGCGCGAAAGCCAGGGGAGCGAACGGG
rnacentral:rRNA from 1 species